AGACUUUUUGUUUUGUAACUAUAACGUUGGUCAAUAUUAGGUAAUCAUCUGGGUUACCCAGCGACUAUUCGAUAAUUUCGACUAUUUGGAGAGAUAAGACGAAUUGGAAAUACCUAGAUAUGAUGUUAUAACUUCUAACAAAGCAACAAAUCCACUGAGAUCCAUACUCACACAUACAAACAUUUAAAUGAUAGGUACCUUGUUCUUGUGGUAGAAGUUAUAUUGGUGAAGCUUCAAGACCAUUAAAAAUGUGUGAGAGUGAACAUCGAGAUUACAUCAGGAAUAGACAAUUUCCAGGAUUAAAAUUGUAAAAAUUGGUAUCAUUUUGGAAUGAUAUGACUUCAUUAAAUUACUGAUUGUGAAUUGUUGUAUAUGCAUAGUACUUAUAUUGGUUCAAAUUCAUGAAAGUUUUAUAUACCUACUUUACUUAUAUGUCCAAUGAAUUAACAUUACAACCUCCUUUUAAAUAUUUCUCUUUUUGUUAUCUUUGUGAAUAAAUAAAAAUGAAAUUUUAA